rnacentral:lncRNA from 1 species
CAUCACAUCUGUUGAGACACACUACUUGUAAGGUUAAAACCUUUUGAAGUUUAUCUACCUAUUCAACUGGUGUAAACAGUGGAAAAUUGAGAUGUCAUUAAUAAUCAGUAUUUUAAUGCAAUACUUAUAAGAGUUAGGUAUUCCCCAAACCUUGGGUUGUUUACCUAAGAGUAAUCCUAUUUCACUACAAAUUCUCACAGAGGCAAUAGAACAGUCAGGGAAACCAUACAAGGGAUUUGCCUCGGCACUACUGUAGCAGCAGCUUCCUGACUGGGGGUCAGUAAGAACAGUUCAGAUGUUUUUGCAAAUAAGACUGCGUAGCCACAGCUACGUUUGGUGCUGGCAAUGGUUCAUCUGCCGAAGGGGGUUCAGUUUGUACUGUGAAGUACACCCUGCAAACAUUCCAGAAUGGAAAAAGUUGCAGGAUCAGGAAAGGAACCCUGAAUCAGACAUCCACGUACACUCUGCCCCAGUUUCAGAGGCUUGGCAGAUUACCUUAUGGAUGGGACAUAAGGACUACAGCCCAACACAGUUCCAGCUAUCCAGUGCCUGGAUUAAGUACUGGAUGGGACAUCAUCUAGAUCAAAUAAAGUCCUCCUGUAUCUCAGAAUACCACAUCAUAUAAUUCCGUUCAUAGAGCUAUCGGUCAUCAUCUUUGCUUGUCAAGGAUUCCUACCAUUGUUCCUGUUGAGCUCUAGCUCCCUCAAUACUGCAUUUCAGUCAAAGGUAAACAAAGCUUCUUUCAAACAAUUUGUGAUUCAUUGUGUGGCAAGGUUGCUCUAAAGGAGGCAUCCUGUGAUGACAUGACAGUUUUUGCAAAUUGACAUUGGGACCACACUACUGUCCCAUGAGAGGAUGACUUCCUAAUCAGUAGGUGUAAGAAAAGGAGACAGGUAUAUAACAGCAUGUUGAAUCUUCAAGAGGAAAGGAGUCAAAAGGAGUCAUGGAAUGUAAGCACAGUGCAGUUCCUGGGAGCUUUAAAAAAAAAAAAAAAAAAAAAAAAAAGGAAAGAAAAGAAAAAAAGAGCUUUUGAUAAAAUAUACACACCGGUUCAUUUAAUAGUCUAUACCAGUUUGAAAGUCCAAGAGUAAUGUUUAAGACUACUGAUGUCCCCUAGAGAAAGGAAAAUUUUAUGGAUUAAAUACUUUAUCCGAAAGAGAAAUAGAUCAGCUGCCAUACCACAACCUUGCAGCCUGAGGCAGAAAUACUCGAUAUAUUAAAUUGCUAUAUAAACAACCCAUGUCUGAAAAUAAAGUGCUCUAAAAACUAGAAGAAAAAAAUCCA